CCUUCUGUGCCGGAGUUAACGCAAUAAGUACCCCGCCUGGGGAGUACGACCGCAAGGUUGAAACUCAAAGGAAUUGACGGGGGCCCGCACAAGCGGUGGAGUAUGUGGUUUAAUUCGACGCAACGCGAAGAACCUUACCAGGUCUUGACAUUGAUGGACAGAACCAGAGAUGGUUCCUCUUCUUCGGAAGCCAGAAAACAGGUGGUGCACGGUUGUCGUCAGCUCGUGUCGUGAGAUGUUGGGUUAAGUCCCGCAACGAGCGCAACCCCUAUCUUAUGUUGCCAGCACGUAAUGGUGGGAACUCAUGAGAGACUGCCGCAGACAAUGCGGAGGAAGGCGGGGAUGACGUCAAAUCAUCAUGCCCCUUAUGACCUGGGCUACACACGUACUACAAUGGGAGUUAAUAGACGGAAGCGAGAUCGCGAGAUGGAGCAAACCCGAGAAACACUCUCUCAGUUCGGAUCGUAGGCUGCAACUCGCCUACGUGAAGUCGGAAUCGCUAGUAAUCGCAGGUCAGCAUACUGCGGUGAAUACGUUCCCGGGCCUUGUACACACCGCCCGUCACACCACGAAAGUCGGAAGUGCCCAAAGCCGGUGGGGUAACCUUCGGGAGCCANCCGU
rnacentral:rRNA from 1 species